UACGUAGGGUGCGAGCGUUGUCCGGAUUUAUUGGGCGUAAAGAGCUCGUAGGCGGUUCAGUAAGUCGGGUGUGAAAAACUCUGGGCUCAACCCAGAGACGCCACCCGAUACUGCUGUGACUUGAGUACGGUAGGGGAGUGGGGAAUUCCUGGUGUAGCAGUGAAAUGCGCAGAUAUCGGGAGGAACACCAGUAGCGAAGGCGGCUCGCUGGGCCGUUCCUGACGCUGAGACGCGAAAAGCUAGGGGAGCGAACAGG
rnacentral:rRNA from 1 species